ACGGAAGGCAGCAGUGGGGAAUAUUGGACAAUGGGGGAAACCCUGAUCUAGCGACGCCGCGUGAGUGAAGAAGUAUUUCGGUAUGUAAAGCUCUAUCAGCAAGGAAGAAAAUGACGGUACUUGACUAAGAAGCUCCGGCUAAAUACGUGCCAGCAGCCGCGGUAAUACGUAUGGAGCAAGCGUUAUCCGGAUUUACUGGGUGUAAAGGGAGCGUAGACGGCGAAGCAAGUCUGAAGUGAAAUGCCGGGGCUUAACCCCGGAACUGCUUUGGAAACUGUUUUGCUAGAGUGCAGGAGAGGUAAGCGGAAUUCCUAGUGUAGCGGUGAAAUGCGUAGAUAUUAGGAGGAACACCAGUGGCGAAGGCGGCUUACUGGACUGUAACUGACGUUGAGGCUCGAAAGCGUGGGGAGCAAACAGGAUUAGAUACCCUGGUA
rnacentral:rRNA from 1 species